GGAGCUCUCCCNUAUGGUCGACCUGCAGGCGGCCGCGAAUUCACUAGUGAUUAGAGUUUGAUCCUGGCUCAGAUUGAACGCUGGCGGCAGGCCUAACACAUGCAAGUCGAGCGGUAACACAGAGAGCUUGCUCUCGGGUGACGAGCGGCGGACGGGUGAGUAAUGUCUGGGAAACUGCCUGAUGGAGGGGGAUAACUACUGGAAACGGUAGCUAAUACCGCAUAACGUCGCAAGACCAAAGUGGGGGACCUUCGGGCCUCAUGCCAUCAGAUGUGCCCAGAUGGGAUUAGCUAGUAGGUGGGGUAAUGGCUCACCUAGGCGACGAUCCCUAGCUGGUCUGAGAGGAUGACCAGCCACACUGGAACUGAGACACGGUCCAGACUCCUACGGGAGGCAGCAGUGGGGAAUAUUGCACAAUGGGCGCAAGCCUGAUGCAGCCAUGCCGCGUGUAUGAAGAAGGCCUUCGGGUUGUAAAGUACUUUCAGCGAGGAGGAAGGCAUUAAGGUUAAUAACCUUGGUGAUUGACGUUACUCGCAGAAGAAGCACCGGCUAACUCCGUGCCAGCAGCCGCGGUAAUACGGAGGGUGCAAGCGUUAAUCGGAAUUACUGGGCGUAAAGCGCACGCAGGCGGUCUGUCAAGUCGGAUGUGAAAUCCCCGGGCUCAACCUGGGAACUGCAUUCGAAACUGGCAGGCUAGAGUCUUGUAGAGGGGGGUAGAAUUCCAGGUGUAGCGGUGAAAUGCGUAGAGAUCUGGAGGAAUACCGGUGGCGAANGCGGCCCCCUGGACAAAGACUGACGCUCANNUGCGAAAGCGUGGGGAGCAAACAGGAUUAGAUACCCUGGUAGUCCACGCCGUNNCGAUGUCGANNNGNANGUUGUGCCCUUGAGGCGUGGCUUCCNGANCUAACGCNUUAAGUCGACCGCCUGGGGAGUACGGCCGCNAGGUUAAAACUCNNUGAAUUGACNGGGGCCCGCACAAGCNGNGG
rnacentral:rRNA from 1 species